AUACUGAGGGUGCAAGCGUUAAUCGGAAUUACUGGGCGUAAAGUGCACGUAGGCGGUUUAUUAAGUCAGAUGUGAAAGCCCUGGGCUUAACCUGGGAACUGCAUUUGAGACUGGUAGGCUAGAGUAUGGUAGAGGAUAGUGGAAUUCCGGGUGUAGCGGUGAAAUGCGUAGAUAUCCGGAGGAACAUCAGUGGCGAAGGCGGCUAUCUGGACCAAUACUGACGCUGAGGUGCGAAAGCGUGGGGAGCAAACAGGAUUAGAAACCCUUGUAGUCC
rnacentral:rRNA from 1 species